GCUCACUUGUGAGCCCAGACUAGAACUGGACGAGACAGAGAUUAGUAUGGUCCCUGUGCAAGGAUGAAGCAAAUUUGUAAAGCGCCCCAUAUUUAA
rnacentral:snRNA from 1 species